AUGGUGUGAUCCCUUCGGCGAAUUUUGCAACUCUGGAAAAAUUAACUUACUUGGAGCUGGACAACAAUAGCUUCACUGGAAUGAUACCUCCAGAACUGGGUGAUUGCCAAACUUUGACGCCGUUGAACUUGGCUCAAAAUAAGCUGAAUGAUUCAUUGCUGGCACAAUUGGGUAAUCGCAGCAGUCUUCAAGUUAUGAAGCUCUAACUUAACAACCUAAGUGGAGACAUCCCUUUUCAGUUUUCCCAGCUAAAGACUUUGUCUCAAUUAAACAUUAGCUGGAAUUCGCUGACUGGUUCAAUACCUUCUUUCCUUUUCCAAGUUGCAAGAGCUUACAAACUUGAACUUACAAAACAACUAUCUCAGUGGUUCCAUGCCCAACUCUAUUGGGAACAUGAAUUCUUUGAUAGAACUCCAACUUGGAGAAAAUAAGCUAAGUGGCCGAAUUCCAUCGUUGCCAGUGAAAUUGCAGAUUGCUUUGAAUCUGAGCAUCAAUCAGUUAGGGUGCACCUCUGGUCCAAUUCUCCUCCUCGAUCUUUCAAGUAGAAACAUUAUGCUUAAGUCACUGAAAGAACCACACCUUGGAGAUAUUGAACUCUGCAAAGUGAUUGACCCCUUAAAGAGGAUUGGCAGUCUUUCCAUGCUUGCUGGUUUUGUCGGUUAUAUUCCUCCAGUUUUCUGUAUUUGAGAUUAUUGCAGAGUAUGCCUACACGAUGGGAGUAACAGCGGCUGGGAACGUUUACGGCUUCAAUGUUAUUCUCCUGGAGUUGCUGACCAGAAAACCUCCAAUUAGCGAGGGUACUGAGUUAGCCAAGUUGGUGUUACACAACUGGGAACAUGAAGAUGUUAAUAUCAACGUGGCUUCACUUGCUAUCAAAAACCAGAUGCUUGCAGUCCUGGAGGUUGCUAUUGCUUGUGUUAGUGUCUUACCAGAAGGAAGGCCAAAGAUGAAUGUUGUCUCAAUUUAUUUCUCCAU